GCCCUUAGGUUUGAUCCUGGCUCAGGAUGAACGCUAGCUACAGGCUUAACACAUGCAAGUCGAGGGGCAGCAUGGUCUUAGCUUGCUAAGGCCGAUGGCGACCGGCGCACGGGUGAGUAACACGUAUCCAACCUGCCGUCUACUCUUGGACAGCCUUCUGAAAGGAAGAUUAAUACAAGAUGGCAUCAUGAGUCCGCAUGUUCACAUGAUUAAAGGUAUUCCGGUAGACGAUGGGGAUGCGUUCCAUUAGAUAGUAGGCGGGGUAACGGCCCACCUAGUCUUCGAUGGAUAGGGGUUCUGAGAGGAAGGUCCCCCACAUUGGAACUGAGACACGGUCCAAACUCCUACGGGAGGCAGCAGUGAGGAAUAUUGGUCAAUGGGCGAGAGCCUGAACCAGCCAAGUAGCGUGAAGGAUGACUGCCCUAUGGGUUGUAAACUUCUUUUAUAAAGGAAUAAAGUCGGGUAUGGAUACCNCGUUUGCAUGUACUUUAUGAAUAAGGAUCGGCUAAU
rnacentral:rRNA from 1 species